rnacentral:rRNA from 1 species
AGUCGAGAAUCUUCCGCAAUGGGCGAAAGCCUGACGGAGCGACGCCGCGUGCGGGAUGAAGGCCUUCGGGUUGUAAACCGCUGUCAGUUGGGAGGAAAUCUAUGAGGGUCAUCCCUCAUAGUUGACCUAUCAUCAGAGGAAGGACGGGCUAAGUUCGUGCCAGCAGCCGCGGUAAGACGAACCGUCCAAACGUUAUUCGGAAUUACUGGGCUUAAAGGGUGCGUAGGCGGCUUGGCAAGUUGGGUGUGAAAUCCCUCGGCUCAACCGGGGAACUGCGCUCAAAACUGCCAGGCUAGAGGAAGAUAGAGGUGAGCGGAACUAAUGGUGGAGCGGUGAAAUGCGUUGAUAUCAUUAGGAACACCUGUGGCGAAAGCGGCUCACUGGGUCUUUUCUGACGCUGAGGCACGAAAGCUAGGGUAGCGAACGGGAUUAGAUACCCCGGUAGUCCUAGCCGUAAACGAUGAGCACUAGGUUGGAGGCUCCUUCAUAGGCUUCCGACCGAAGCGAAAGUGUUAAGUGCUCCGCCUGGGGAGUAUGGUCGCAAGGCUGAAACUCAAAGGAAUUGACGGGGGCUCACACAAGCGGUGGAGGAUGUGGCUUAAUUCGAGGAUACGCGAAGAACCUUAUCCUGGUCUUGACAUGUACGGAUGGGCUGCCUGAAAGGGAUAGUCCCUGCCUUCGGGUGAAACGUACACAGGUGCUGCAUGGCCGUCGUCAGCUCGUGUCGUGAGAUGUCGGGUUAAGUCCCUUAACGAGCGAAACCCUUGUUCCUAGUUGCCAGCACAUAAUGGUGGGGACUCUAGGGAGACUGCCGGUGUUAAACCGGAGGAAGGUGGGGAUGACGUCAGGUCCUCAUGGCCUUUAUGACCAGGGCUGCACACGUCCUACAAUGCGGUGUACAGAGGGAAGCAAACUCGCGAGAGCAAGCAAAUCCCAAAAAGCACCGCCCAGUUCGGAUUGCAGGCUGCAACUCGCCUGCAUGAAGCCGGAAUCGCUAGUAAUCGUGGGUCAGCAUACCACGGUGAAUAUGUUCCUGAGCCUUGUACACACCGCCCGUCAAGCCACGAAAGUGGGGGGCAUCCGAAGUCGCCAAGCUAACCGUAAGGAGGCAGGCGCCUAAGAUGAACUCUGCGAUUGGGACU